UAAGGUUGUGGUUGGUGAACCGGAAAAAACCAACUGGGUUUGAUUGUGAACCCGGAAAAACAAUCGGUUGGUUCUAGUCGGUGAGCCUGUGAAAACCGACUGAGUUUGUUGUGAUCUCACGAAAACAACAAGUUGGGUUGUGAGCUUAUAAAACAACCGGCUGUAAUCUGAGGGAUUAUAGUGAAAUUCUCAAGAGAUCUUGGGGAGUGGAUGUAGGUGCUGGGGUGCACCGAACCACUAUACAUCUUUGUGUUUGUGAUGCCUUAUCUCUUGUAUUUCAUGCCUUACAUUCAUACUUGAUUGUGUAAUAUCUCUAGCUUUGUUUUCUAUAGAGUUAUAAGUGAUUGUUUAGAAUUUACUUAGCUUCCACUCCAUUCUUACCAUACACAUAGAUUAAAAUUGAUCAUACAACUAUAAGGUAAUUUUAGAUCAAUUGCACCCUAAAGCCAUAGUAUAAUUGCUCUAGCUUAAUUUUCCACUGCUUUACUUGUAAUUGCCUAGAGCUUAAGUAAAUAACAUCUUAUCAUUCCGCUGCAUUCAAUUCAAAGUAAA
rnacentral:lncRNA from 1 species